rnacentral:pre_miRNA from 1 species
AAAAAGGCAAACCCUGAAUUUCCGUGUCCAACUUUAAUUGUCCAUCUUAUAUGAAAUUGUUUUAUAAUUCGUAUUUUCAUUGUUGUUAGAUGAUAAAACAUGAUUAAUAUUUUAUGCGUGACUUGUCUUUUUAAUUUUUUUCAUAAUUUUUUCAAAUAAGACGGACGGUCAAACGUUGGGCACGGAAACCAGAGUUUGUCUUUUUA